rnacentral:rRNA from 1 species
CUGCUGCCUUCCGUAGGAGUCUGGGCCGUGUCUCAGUCCCAGUGUGGCCGUCCACCCUCUCAGGCCGGCUGCUGAUCGUCGCUUUGGUGGGCCGUUACCCCGCCAACUGGCUAAUCAGACGCGGGCCCAUCCUGUACCACCGGAGUUUUUAAAGGAUUACCAUGCGGUAUUCCCUAUUAUGCGGUAUUAGCACCUAUUUCUAAGUGUUAUCCCCCGGUACAGGGCAGGUUGCCCACGCGUUACUCACCCGUCCGCCACUAAGACAGA